UAUAUAUAUAUAUAUCAACUUUGAAUAAAUUGCACAGCUUCAACAUCAAGGUGGUAAAACUCCCUCUCGAAGGAGAUGGACAUUGCCUGGUAUUUUGUGGCAUGAAUGUUACUGCCACUUAUCUGCCCAAAUAUGAAUCUUGUCUAGCUCAUUGCUGGAUGCAGAUACGGUCUAUUUCAUUUGCUGUGAAAUUGCAAAUAGGUUUAAGCAAUCAUCAGCGAAUAACCCAGCCCCUGCCCACACAAAGGCGCUGAAUAAAGGCAUCAUAAGGUACUCACAGGCUGAUUCUUGGUUGGUGAACACAGACUGGUACUACUUUUCUGCAAAUGAUUGGUACACACUUUAAUUCGCUAAAUGAGAGUAAUGUGAUGGAUGCUGAAGAAUUUUGCCCUGGUCCUAGAACUGUGUGCAUUGGUAGGCACAGGGUGAACAGAGAUCAUCCUCAUCAGAAAAGUAUUCUGCAAAUUAGAAAGAAAAAAUAAGAUUCUCAGUUGAAAUGUGUAGUGAGAUCGUUUGUGAGAUGUGUCACUUGAUCCAGUCACAAAAGAUCAGGACACCCAGCUAGUGGCUGCCAGCUGUCUGUGGCCAUGAAUUUUCAUGCAUCAAGCUCCUUCAACAGUUUGCUGCUUAACAUUGGAAACAAGUACUUCAAUAACGGCCAACAGUAAACAUGAUGAAGUGUAUUUAUCUCUGUAAUUAAAAUGAUGAUUUGAGGGAACCUAAACAGAUGGCAACAUCUAUUUUCUGACUCACUCUGUUUGUCUCUGUGCCUCAAUUGGUAUGUGUACAAGAGUGGGAAUGCAUUGGUAUUAAUCAGUCAUUUACAUUUGUUUUUCUUACAUCUGGAUUUUGCAACAUCCCUGGAAACCUCUCUCAUGGUGGACAUCAUCCUAUGGCCGAGGUGUUAUUACGUCUGGUCCUAUGAUUGGGUAAUUUUAGACGAAGAGGGAAUGGGAUUUACAAUCCCAACAGUGUUAUCACUGAAUGCUUAUUCAGUUUUCGAGAUAAAGCAUGAAAACAGGUCCUUCGGCCCAGCGAGUCCGCGACGGCCAACAAUUACCCGUACCCUAGUUCUAUCCUACACACUAGAGACAAUUUACAGAAGUCAAUUAACCUACGCACAUCUUUGGAAUGUGGGAGGAAACCUGAGGACCCAGAGAAAACUCUUGCGGUCACAGAGGAAACCUACAAACUCCGUACGGACAGCACCCGAGGUCAGGAUCAAAUUCAGGUCUCUGGCGCUGUAAGGCAACAACUGUACUGCAGUGCCACUGUGCCGUCAGUGAAAGAUUAUUAUGUAUUCAGAUUAAAUAAAGGUAUAAUGGAAACAAUUAA